rnacentral:lncRNA from 1 species
CUACUCUUUAUCUGUGUAGUGAGUUGGAUUCGUCCCGUUCUUUUCUCACGUCACGGUACUCAUUUAACUCCACCUGAUCAACAAUUACUUAAUUAGUGGGCACUGCUUGGAUGUGGCUAUAAAGGCCUGCGAGUUUGCUGUGGUGUCUGAGCUUGUGAACCGCUACCUCUCCUGUGUGGUUUCCUCGUUCUCCUGCGGUUGUGGGCAUUGCAGAGGCCUAGUUGAGGAUGCACUUCUUGGAUUGUGGUCUGGGAGUUGGUCAAUCUCCUGGAUGUGUGGUGGUUGA